rnacentral:rRNA from 1 species
GAUGAACGCUAGCGGCAGGCCUAAUACAUGCAAGUCGAACGGUGUCUUCGGACAUAGUGGCGCACGGGUGCGUAACACGUAUGCAACCUACCUUACAUUGGGGGAUAGCCUUUCGAAAGGGAGAUUAAUACCGCAUAAGACAGUAGCUGGGCAUCCAGCAGCUGUUAAAGAUUUAUCGAUGUAAGCUGGGCAUGCGUCCAAUUAGCUAGUUGGUGAGGUAACGGCUCACCAAGGCAAUGAUUGGUAGUGGAACUGAGAGGUCAAUCCCCCACACUGGAAGUGAGAUACGGGCCAGACUCCUACGGGAGGCAGCAGUAGGGAAUAUUGGGCAAUGGACGCAAGUCUGACCCAGCCAUGCCGCGUGCAGGAUGAAGGCGUUAUGCGUUGUAAACUGCUUUUAUACAGGAAGAAACGACUCUUGCGAGAGGCGUUGACGGUACUGUAUGAAUAAGCACCGGCUAACUCCGUGCCAGCCGCCGCCGUAAUAC